rnacentral:rRNA from 1 species
UACGUAGGGUGCAAGCGUUGUCCGGAAUUAUUGGGCGUAAAGAGCUCGUAGGCGGUCUGUCGCGUCUGCUGUGAAAACUCAGGGCUUAACCCUGAGCUUGCAGUGGGUACGGGCAGACUAGAGUGCGGUAGGGGGAGACUGGAAUUCCUGGUGUAGCGGUGAAAUGCGCAGAUAUCAGGAGGGAACACCGGUGGGCGAAGGCGGGUCUCUGGGCCGUAACUGACGCUGGAGGAGCGAAAGCAUGGGGAGCGAACAGG